AAAUUGAAGAGUUUGAUCAUGGCUCAGAUUGAACGCUGGCGGCAGGCCUAACACAUGCAAGUCGAACGGUAACAGGAAGCAGCUUGCUGCUUUGCUGACGAGUGGCGGACGGGUGAGUAAUGUCUGGGAAACUGCCUGAUGGAGGGGGAUAACUACUGGAAACGGUAGCUAAUACCACAUAA
rnacentral:rRNA from 1 species